AUGGCAAGAUGGAGCACACAUCUGAGGGAGGGAAGGGUUGUACCUGGUAUUUUCCCCAGCCCACAGAGCGCAGCUGUGCCCAUUUACUGCCUUUGGUUCACUAACACCUGGGGAGAGGACAGAAGCACAACUGCCAUGUGCCUCAGGAAGAGGACAGCAAGGACUUCCACCCUCAGGUCAGCCUGGAUACUGCAGCUGCGGGGUGUCCUGUGCUCCGUGGCAGAACCAGCCGGAGCAGCAGCUGAACUGGAAACGCAGAAGUAUCACUGGGAAUUGCAUUUACAACUGCUGUCCUUCCUGGGGCAAGUACCACAGCAACAAAGCAUCAUACACCAACUUGUUUUGACCACGAAAAGAGCAGAAACAGAUAUAACUUCAAACUAAUCUACUGAGUACAGUUGGGUUACUCUGGAUUAACAGUGGUAUAAAUAACAGCAGAACUUGGCACGCUGUCUCCAAAUUAAUAAGCCUAAAUGUUUUUCAACUAAUGGAACGGCUUGAAUAUGAUCAAACAAAUUUUGCUUUUAGUCUGUGGAAGAAAAAUGUGUUUGCUUGACCUGUAAAGCAAGUUAUGCCAAAUUUGAUCAUGAAACAAUAUUUAUGAAUAAUUUUUAAUGCACUGCAAACAACUGAAGUGGGAAAUGCUGAUAUACUAGUGUAACUAUGACUGUGGAAAUGGAACUAAUGUAAUAACUAAAACGAAUGGGCAUAAUGAAAGAAAAACCCCAUGCCAGUUGGUAAUUCCUUAAAAUCG
rnacentral:lncRNA from 1 species